rnacentral:lncRNA from 1 species
GCACCAUUGGUUUGGAGGCAUAAGCAUUAUGAGAAGUGUGGCACAUAUUUGCCAUGUGAGAAUCCCUACAAUGUGAAACAACCUUUUGAAUCAGGUUUGAGCCAUUACAACCUAUAUCACAAGAAAGAAUUAGAUAUAGUACAAUCAUUGAUUAUUUUAUUACUAACGAUUAGAAUCAUCUAAUUACAACCUAAACUCUACCCCAC